rnacentral:rRNA from 1 species
UAGGGAAUAUUGCGCAAUGGGCGAAAGCCUGACGCAGCGACGCCGCGUGAGUGAAGAAGGCCUUCGGGUUGUAAAACUCUGUCCUUAGGGAAGAAGGACGUGACGGUACCUAAGGAGGAAGCCCCGGCUAACUACGUG